rnacentral:lncRNA from 1 species
AGUGUAUUUCUUAUUAUUUUCUUCAACACAUACUUGUAGCAAUAAUAGUAUUGUUCCUUAUGAGAUAAUCAUCUAUUUGUGGUGCUUCAUAGAUUGAACUCCCCUAUUGAAAAAAGUAGACGCAAUCAUAGUUUUGUACAAGCUAAAUUCAAAAGUUGGAGAUAAGUGGACACCAAUUGCUAACAUCCGCAGUAGGAUAAACCAUCAUAUCCAGGCCCCCGAUCGAUUAUACCAUAAUGGCCGAGUAUAAAUAAUAAUCCCUUCCCUAAUGUAGCUUACAAUUUCCAUCGUAUUAUGCUCUAAAAAUGCAAAUCUUCUCAAACCCUCUCUCAAAAGGGGCUAAAUUCGAAUAUCAUUUUAAUUAAAGAUUCUUGUAGUUUAAGAGGUUCCAAAUAUAAAAGAACAAGGAAUGAAGAAUUUCAUCCCUUUUCUUCUAACUCUCCGAUCUUAAGUACACUGAUUUUAAGGAAUUCUUGGCUUAAUUCUAUUAUGAAGUACUAAAUGUAAAGCGUUAUAUUUUAGUCUAGUUAAGAAAUCUCGUACGGAGAAGUUUUGUCGAUGUGUUGUAGAUAAGUUGAAUUUGGCUCUUGAAGCAUUGAGUUGAUGGGCAAUGGCAUUGAGUCCAUAGAUGGACGAACUGUGGAUACAAAAACUUUAUAUACUCGGAACUUUGUGCAAUUCAAUUAAAUUGAAGAUAAUGCCUAAUUCAAUGGGUCCAAACAAGACCUGGCAAUGCAUGGCUUUUUCAAUACCUUUACUAACAGUUUGGAGAAACAGACAAACAGUUUCAAUCACAAACUUUUUUAAUGUUCAUUAACCUAACUUUAAAUUAUUGUUUGAUGUUUCAAUGUAUCAAUUCCCAAUUGUCUAAUUUCACGCGUGACUUUGUAAUGUCCCACAAAGAACAUUAUCAUCUUAUCCACAACCACCAUACUUUUUAACAUUUUUUCUCUACCUUAGUACUUUAAUUUGUACUUAUUCGACAUAUACUUUUUGAUAUAUAUUCUUUUUCCAAGUCAAAUAAUUAAUUGCAUCUAGAUUAGUCGAUUUAACAAGACUUAUAUAUGAACAUAUUUGAAUUAUUUAGAGCAUCAAAUAAUCUAUCAAAUGUGAUAUAUAUUUGAUUACAAGAAUCAUGCAUCAAGUUCGAGUUCAAACUCUAAUAUUCGAACAUCAACAAAAGAAUUUACAAAUGAGGAAUUUUUGGGUAAAAAAUAGCUGAAGUUUCAUUUUAGUCACGAAACUUUUCUUUUUUUCUAACUAUGCAUCACCAAGCCAACUUCUGCUAGCAAAAAUAGAUAUUGUCCAACACGGUGGGGGAGAAAUAGAAUUCAACAUGACAAUAUGCCAACAAAUGACCACUAUUAGUUUUAGAAUAAUACUCUCUAUCGCCGGUAAUAUUGAACAUCAAUUUAAAUUUCUACAUUUUAUGGGUCAUAUUAAAUGGAACAUAAUUUAUUGUAUUUAAUUGCACUUGUAAUUAAUGCCGUCAUCUAAACUAGUGUUAAAAAUUAGUGGUAAUAAAUAACAUUACUCAAAAGUUUCCUCGUCAACUUUCAACCUGAGAAUCAUUGGCAAUUGUAUACGUGGAAAUUUAGAAACCACGGAAAGGAUAAGAUGGUGUUGAAACUUGAAUAGCAUUCAUAGCCAUUCCUACCUAAUAAUAUUAUUCUUAUGCUCUUCUUUAACCCCCACCCCCACCCCCACUCCCACUCCCACUCCCACCCCCUUGUGAGAAUUUAAUUUGGGUUGUUGAUGGACCACAAUGGCACUGAUAGAAGCCUUCUUUAUUGGACCACAAUAGCACUUAUAUUUCUUUAAAGCAGAAUAGAACCCUACACAACAAACUGGGAAAAAUAUCAAUUAGGUCCCCUACACUUCACUAUAUCUUGGACAGGGAC